UGUUGGUCCUGGCAACGACCAUAACCGACGGUCCCGCGAGCCCAGUGGUGGUAGCGAUUUGGGUUGAUGUAAAACGGUGGAAGUGUUCGGGUUUUGACAGAGGAGUGACGACUGCCGUUUGAAGGCUUGGUAUUCCGGCGAGGUGUUUUCCGGUCUAGAUCCAGACAAUAUUCCGGGUUAUUCUAGACCUCCGACCAAAAUCCGGUGAACGACGGUGGUUGUAACGGUGAGUGGCGAAGAUGACACAAAUAUAAUGCGACGAGUAUCAUUGACGAGUGAAAUACUUCAAAGAGUACAAAUACUACAAGUUGGAUGGAUUGGCUAAAGUCCCAAAUGUCAACACAAGUUCAGCACCAAGCCAAACACCCACGUGGCAGGUUCCGUCGAUACAUCCGAUCUCCCCAGCUACAGUGUUCGGGUUGAAUCCUCCUAUUGUUUGCAGUAAUUCAAUUUAAGUAGCCGCAACGCGGCGACACGAAAAAAAACCUAGUU
rnacentral:lncRNA from 1 species